AGACACUCCGACAAGCAUGC
rnacentral:rRNA from 1 species